CAGCUCACAAUGGGGCCUGAUGGGACAUGUUGCAUCGAAACUAGAAGUUGGCAUUGAGAUCCAGCCUCACUGUGGCACUACAAAGCUGCCGCCACGUCAGCUGGAUGACACUGAAAUGGACGAGAACAAAAGGCUUUUUCCUGCAGUGUGUAAUGUCCCCUUACCAAGGCCCAGGAGCUAUUGUGAUGCACUGAGCGUAAAGCUUCCAGAGCAGUGAGUAGGUGAAAAGGAGAACUCUGGGCUGAGAAUGAGAUUUCAGGCAAAGGGAAGACAUCCUCCUUCCAUUGAGGUCAUAUCAAGAGCUUGGGUGAGGACCACAUAAGAAGAGACUACAAUCCCACUGGUCUGCAUAACCAAGGACAGAAGUCAGGUGGAGAGAAAAUGAGCCCUCAGCUUUCCUGUAAGCCUCUACUAAGUGGCUUCCUGUCUGCAUGAAACAGAAAGAAAUUCC
rnacentral:lncRNA from 1 species